ACACACAUACACUUAUACCAUCUAACACGCCGUUAAAAAAUAAACGAUUUAAUUUUGAAAUGACUGAAAUACCCUUAUAGGUAGACGUGCAAAAGAAAACUUUAUAAGGAUACACAUGUAAAUAGCAACUUUGCAAUUGCAAUUACGCAUAUUUAGAUGGGUAUUACACUUAAAAAAUCCAAUAAAAAUGAACAAAAUUCAGUAAAGAUAAUUCAGUUGUUCUUAAUUAAAAAAGGUGACAAAAAAAAUUAAUAUUAUCAUGUCAUGUGAUCUCAUGUUAAUAUCAACUCUUAUAAAAUGAAUCAUGUUGCUUUUACCAAAUUCUCACCUCAAAAACAAACAAUAACUCAACAUUUACAAAUCACUAAAAAAUAUUUUACUAAUCUAAACAUCUAUAAUUAAUUUAAAUUUGAUUUACUAUAAUUUUUUAAAAAUAAUGAAGAAGAUAUAGAUGUCAUAGAUUCAAUAAUAAUAAUUAUAUCAAAAUCAAAUGGAGAAUAGCAUUACCAAAAUGAUCACCUAAUAUUUCAACUUGACCGAGUCAUGAUAUUAAAAAAGAAAAUUAGCAAUGUAGCUCAAUCUUUUUUUGAUUUGUCAAUCCAGCUGAAUCAUAAAAGACUUAGCAAGUACCAGCCAAGUUUUGAUCUCUUUUUAAAUAUAUUUUUUGCAUGAAUACCCUCAUAAAGUUGCUAUUUACGUGUAUACCAGUAUAACUUUUUUUUUGCAUAUCUACCCCUACAGGUAUUUCAGUCAUUUUAGUUUUAAGCCGUUUAUUUUUUAGCAACAUUAGAUGGUA
rnacentral:lncRNA from 1 species